rnacentral:rRNA from 1 species
UACCUGCAGCUCGAGUAGUAACCGCUAUUAUUGGGCCUAGAGCGUCCGUAGCCGGUUUGGUAAAUAUCUGGGUAAAUCGUGAGGCUUAACUUCACGAAUUUCGGAUAGACUGCCAGACCUGGGAUCGGGGGAGGUCAGAGGUACUCCAGGGGUAGCGGUGAAAUGUUGUAAUCCUUGGAGGACCACCGGUAGCGAAGGCGUCUGACUAGAACGAGUCCGACGGUGAGUGACGAAGCCCUGGGGCGCAAACCGGAUUAGAUACCCGGGUAGUCCAGGGUGUGAGCAAUGUGGGCUUUGUAUUGGAGGUUCCACGUGGGCGUCCAGUGCAGAAGAGAAGUUGUUAAGCCCACCGCCUGGGAAGUACGGUCGCAAGGCUGAAACUUAAAGGAAUUGGCGGGGGAGCACAGCAACGGGAGGAGCGUGCGGUUU